GACGAACGCUGGCGGCGUGCUUAACACAUGCAAGUCGAACGGAAAGGCCCUGCUUUUGUGGGGUGCUCGAGUGGCGAACGGGUGAGAAACACGUGAGUAACCUGCCCUUGACUUUGGGAUAACUUCAGGAAACUGGGGCUAAUACCGGAUAGGAGCUCCUGCUGCAUGGUGGGGGUUGGAAAGUUUCGGCGGUUGGGGAUGGACUCGCGGCUUAUCAGCUGGUUGGUGGGGUAGUGGCUUACCAAGGCUUCGACGGGUAGCCGGCCUGAGAGGGUGACCGGCCACAUUGGGACUGAGAUACGGCCCAGACUCCUACGGUAGGCAGCAGUGGGGAAUAUUGCACAAUGGGCGGAAGCCUGAUGCAGCAACGCCGCGUGCGGGAUGACGUCCUUCGGGUUGUAAACCGCUUUCGCCUGUGACGAAGCGGGAGUGACGGUAAUGGGUAAAGAAGCACCGGCUAACUACGUG
rnacentral:rRNA from 1 species